CUAGACUCGGGCAGAACCCUAGGCCUUUUUCCUCGAUCUACACAGCCGCCGCACUCGUCCUCCUGCGUCCGUCUUCCUCCCUACUUCCUCCUCACUCCCUCACCACGGAAGCCGCAGCCUGCUAAUCCUCGCGCCGGAGCAGCCCCUUGCUCGCCGCCCAGCUUCAAAGUCGUCGCCCCGCAGCCGGUCGUCCGCCGCCCCGCAGCUGGUUGAUGAGGAGGAGGGGGGGAGGAUCAGACGUCGGCGGGGAUGAAAUGGGAGAAGCGGCCGGUGGUUUGUAUGAAGAAGAGGAGCAGCCGGUGGCGCGGAUCAAGGGAGAGAGCACCGGCGGCGGAGGCGAUGACGACGCGCAGAUGGGAGAGAAUUCGUGCAUUGGGAGAAGGAGGUGAGAGCACUGAGUUAGGAGGUGGCUUGGCUCGACCCAGCCAUGGAGCUAGCGUUGAGGAUUCCCCGCUGACCUACUUGGCGAGAGAUAGUGUGCUGCCGAUGGCAGCAGCCAGAACUGAAUUGGCCGUCGUGACGCCUUUAGUGGUUGGGUGUUUCCAAAAAACCUGAGACUAUAGCAAGAUGUAGUUCUCCACAAAUUGCUAUUAGAUGCUCUCUCUUUACCUGAUGAUUUUCUGUUUCUCUGGUUUUGAUUCCCUGAUAUUCAAUUUAUCUAAACGCCACAAUUUCUCAGAUCUGAGAGAGGAGAGGAACAGAAGAAUCCAGCAGAAGAAUUUGGUGAUAACUAGGUGACUCUCUCUCUCUCUCAUGUGAACAUGGUUCAUUUAUGAUUUGUGCUAAUGUAAAUAUGAGUUAUGCAUAUAUUGUCUAAAUGUAUUAGAAAAAUGGUGUGGUUGCGGAACAUUUGGUAGACACUUUUUUAUUCAAGAUGGAACAAGUUGUUUUGAUGUAUUUUGUUACCGAUAUUCCUGUAAAUGGCUUACACACUUUGUUUUGUUAUAAUGUAAACAUAUGGGUGUAUGGUUAUUGGAA